rnacentral:rRNA from 1 species
UACGAGUGCUCCAAGCGUUAUCCGGAAUCAUUGGGCGUAAAGGGUGUGUAGGUGGUUGUGUUAGUCUUCUGUCAAAUUCUUCGGCUUAACCGGGGGUCCGCAGAGGAAACGGCACAACUAGAGGAUGCGAGAGGUGAAUGGAACUCAUGGAGUAGGGGUGAAAUCCGUUGAUAUCAUGGGGAACACCAAAAGCGAAGGCAAUUCACUGGCGCACUCCUGACACUGAGACACGAAAGCGUAGGUAGCGAAUGGG